UUUUUUUUUUUUUUUUUUUUUUAGAUUUUGAGUCUCUUCUAUUUAUUUGGCAUGUAUGUCUCUGCGGUUGUUGUUGCCAUUACAGUAUUUUGUUCUCUCAUUCAUCUAUUCUUCUCUGGACAGAAUGACAAGACAGAAAAACUCACCUCAAAAAAGAACAAAAGGCAGUACUUACCUAAUCAGUACAGAGAUAAUUAAGAUGUUGGAACGAAAGUUCAAAAUAAUUAUUACAAAAACACUAGAGAAUCCCUUUCUAGAGAAAUAAAAGAACUAAAAUCUAAUCAAGUUGAAAUAAAAAAAGGCUAUUAAUGAGAUGCAGUCAAAAAUGGAGGCUCUAACUACUAGGAUAAAUGAGGCAGACAAGAGAAUUAGUGAUAUACAAGACAAAAUGAUGGGGAAUAAAGAAAUUGAGAAAGAGAUAAGCAAUUAUUGGAUCAGUGGGAGGAAUUCCACAAAGCAAAACAAUAUUAGAAUAAUUGUGAUCCCAGAAGAAGAAGAAAGAGAGAGGGAGAGAGUAGCAGAAGAUAUACUGGAGCAAGUUAUAGUGGAGAACUUCCCUAAUCUGGUGAAGGAAACAGGUAUUCAAUUCCAGAAGGCACAGAAAAUUGCCCUCAAAAUCAGUAAAAAUAGGUUAACAUUUUGACAUAUAAGAAUGAAAACUGCAAAUCUCUGAGAAGAGAAAAACCUGAAAACAGCUCAGGACAAGAGACUGGAAAUCUACAAGGGUAGAAACAUUAUCCUGACAGCAGACCCAUCCACACAAACCUGACAGGCCAGAAAAGACUGCCAUGAUAUAUUCAAGAUGCUAAAUGGGAAAAAUACAUAGCCAAGACUACUUUAUCCAGCUAGGCUGUCAUUCAAAAUAGGAGAGAUAAAAAGCUUCCAGGACAAACAGAAACUAAAAGAUUCUGGGAUCACUAAAUCAGCCCUGCAAGAAAUAUUAAAGGGGAUCCUUUAUGCAAAGAGAGAGCCCAUUAGUAACACAGACCAGAAAAGAAUAGAGAAAAUGUACAGAAACAGUGACUUUACAGGUAAUACACUGACACUAAAGUCAUAUCUUUCAGUAGUUACUCUGAAUGUAAAUGGGCUAAAUACCCCAAUAUUUAUGCCCCUAACAUGGGAGGAGCCAAUUAUAUAAACCAAUUAAUAACAAAAUUAAAAAACACAUUGAUAAUAAUACAAUAACAGUAGGGGACUUAAACACCCCACUCACUACCAUGGCCAGAUCAUCUAAGCAGAAGAUCAACAAGCAAAUAAGGUCUUUGAAUGACACAGUGGAUCAGAUGGAUUUCAUAGAUAUAUGCGGAACAUUCCAUCCUAAAGCAACAAAGUACGCAUUCUUCUCCAGUGCACAUGGAACAUUCUCCAGAAUAGAUCACAUCCUGGGUCACAAAUCAGGUUUCAACUGGUACCGAAAGAUUGGGAUCAUUCCAUGCAUAUUUUCAGACCACAACGCUUUGAAACUGGAUUUUAAUCACAAGAGGAAAUUUGUAAAGAACUCAAAUACUUGAAGGCCAAAGAGCAUCCUACUAAAGAAUGAAUGGGUCAACCAGGAAAUUAAAAAAGAAUUAAAAAAUUCAUGGAAACAAAUGAAAAUGAAAACACAAUUGUUCAAAACCUUUGGAAUGCAGCAAAGUCAGUCCUAAGAGGGAAGUAUAUAGCAAUACAAGCCUUUCUCAAGAAAUAAGAAAGGUCUCAAAUAUACAGCCUAACCUUAUACCUAAAGGAACUGGAGAAAGAACAGCAAAUGAAGUCUAAACCUGGUAGGAGAAGAGAAUUAAUAAAUAGUAGAGCAGAAAUCAAUGAAAUAGAAAUCAAAAGAACAGUAGGACAGAUAAACAAAACUAUGAGCUGGUUUUUUGAAAAAAUUAGUAAGAUUGAAAAACCCCUGGCCUGACUUACCAUAAAGAAAAGAGAAAGGAUUCCAAAAAAUAAAAUCAUAAAUGAAGAGGAGAGAUUACAACCAACAUUCAAGAAAUAAAAACAAUUAUAAAAUAUUAUGAGCAACUAUAUGCCAAAAAAUUUGGCAAUCUGGAAGAUGGAUGCAUUCCUAGAGAUGUAUAAACUACCAAAACUGAAAAGACCCAUAAACAGCAAGGAAAUUGAAACAGUAAUCAAAAAUCUCCCAACAAGCUAGAGUCUAGGGCCAGACGGUAUUCCAGGGCCGUUCUACCAAACACUGAAAGAAUAAUUGAUACAUAUUCUUCUGAAGCUGUUUCAAAGAAUAGAAAUGGAAGGAAAACCUCCAAACUCUUUCUAUGAGGCCAGCAUUACCUUGAUCCCAAAACCAGACAAAGACCCCACCAAAAAGGAGAAUCACAGACUAACAUCCCUGAAACAUAGAGGUAAAAAUUCUCAACAAGAUACUAGCCAAGAUGCUCCAACAGGAUGUUAAAAGGAUUAUUCACCACAACCAAGUGGGAUACCCUUCUGGGAUACCAGGGUGGUUUAAUAUCCACAAAUCAAUCAAUAUGAUACACUACAUACAUAAAAGGGCAAGAACUACAUUAUCCUCUCAAUAGAUGCAGAAAAAGCAUUUAACAAAGUACAGCAUCAUUUCUUGAUAAAAUUCAUCACAGUGUAGGGAUAGAGGGAACAUAGCUCAAUAUCACAAAAGUCAUCUACAAAAAAAGCCCACAGCAGAGUGAAACUCUCACUCUACACAGAUGACAUGAUACUCUAGGUGGAAAAUCCAAAAGACUCCAUCCCAAAAUUUCAGGAACUCUCAGGAAUUUAGCUAAGUGGCAGGAUAUAAAAUAUAAGUGGCAUUUCUAUACACUAACAAUGAGACAAAAGAAAGAGAAAUUAAGGAGUUGAUCCCCUUUACAAUUGCACCAAAACCCAUAAGAUACCUAGGAAUAAACCUUACCAAAGAGGCAUAGGAACUGUACUCAAAAAACUAUAGAACAUUCAUGAAAGAAACUGAGGAAGAUACAAAGAAAUUGAAAAAUGUCCCAUGCUCAUGGAUUGAAAGAACAAAUAUUAUUAAAAUGUCUAUGCUCCUAGAGCAAUC
rnacentral:lncRNA from 1 species